CAGUAUUCAGCCUAGCCUAGCUGAGCACAGAGAGGAGCUCAUCUCAGCAACACAGAAUGUCCUGCUGGGAGUGAUCAAAAUACUUUUAGUAGAGGAUGAUGCUACUGUGAGAAAGGUCCUAGCAGCUGCUAAGAGGGUGUUGGACUGCCUUUCCCUUCUGGGUUCUUCGCUGGACAUCAAAGCUUUACUUAGGGCCUUCCAAAGGUUUUCAGAGGCCCUGGUUCUUCUGAACAAACUGGUUGUUGAACGGGCUGAGGCCCUACAGGACCCUACUCAAACAGAUAACCUGCACAGUUGUUUGGACACCUUAAAGAAAUGCAUCUCCUUGCUUCACACAGCCAUUGUCACCACCAUAAAACACCCAACCAGUGAGCAGGCCCAAGCCUCCAAAACAUACAUUCUGAGCAAAGUGGAAAGCACAGUGAAUGAAAUUGUCACAAUACUCAAGAGUGAAUGCCGUGCAGGUGGUGGCGUCUUAGGUGUGUGUGGGUACUAUACUGAGAGACGUGACAGUUUGAUAAGGCUCCUUGCCAGUUCUUCCUCGAUCAGGGACAGUUACUUUGACAGCCUCUUAAGAGACCUUGUCUUCCACUGCAUCGCAGUGGCUAACUCCUCACGGGUGGAACUUCAGCACAGUGUGGUCGAUCACUGUCGACAUGUCCUACAGCUCUGGUCAGAAAUAAACAGGCUCAUAAGGUUUCCAGAGAAUCCUGAUGAUGAUAAGCUGAACCAGGUAUUAGACAGUAUCUGUUCUUCAUUGAUACAGCGAAUCUGGCUGCUUGACCGU
rnacentral:lncRNA from 1 species